rnacentral:tRNA from 1 species
GUGGCCGAACCCAAACGGUGCGGGGCGUGUCUGUGGAACACGUUUUAGUCGGUUCGACUCCGACCGGUCACCCCA